CGGGUGAGGUACUGCGGAGGACAUUACACAAAUAUGAAGGCGGGCUGGAACCUCUCGGGGUUACAGCCUUGCUGAAUUAUUCACCCUUGUCUUUUGCGUACUUCUUGUUUCCUUGGUGGGUUCGCCCACCACUAGGACAAACAUAAACCUUUUGUAAUUGCAAUCAGCGUCAGUAACAAAUUAAUAAUUACAACUUUCAACAACGGAUCUCUUGGUUCUGGCAUCGAUGAAGAACGCAGCGAAAUGCGAUAAGUAGUGUGAAUUGCAGAAUUCAGUGAAUCAUCGAAUCUUUGAACGCACAUUGCGCCCUUUGGUAUUCCAAAGGGCAUGCCUGUUCGAGCGUCAUUUGUACCCUCAAGCUUUGCUUGGUGUUGGGCGUCUUGUCUCUAGCUUUGCUGGAGACUCGCCUUAAAGUAAUUGGCAGCCGGCCUACUGGUUUCGGAGCGCAGCACAAGUCGCACUCUCUAUCAGCAAAGGUCUAGCAUCCAUUAAGCCUUUUUUUCAACUUUUGACCUCGGAUCAGGUAGGGAUACCCGCUGAACUUAAGCAUAUCAAAA
rnacentral:rRNA from 1 species